rnacentral:misc_RNA from 1 species
AAAUUUUGAAGAUUGGGGAGCCAAAAGUAAGAAUGACAAAGAUAAAUGAAAAUAAAGAUUGUAGGGCAGUAUGGACAUUUUUCAAAAUUUCGGGUGCCAUAUCCAUACUAUAAACAAUUAGUAUGAAAUGUAACAUGUGUACAAAGAACAAUUUAAAAGUUUUUCAAAACCCAUAUCCGUACUAAUAAAAAUGCUAGUAAAAAUUUGUAUGAAAUAUCCCCUAGCACAAAACAAAAAAAUUGAAGCAAUAAUGUAGGAUUGACCUACCACCAUGCCUAUUUAACUGCUUUUCAUAAAUAAAAUUGUUGAAACAAUUAUUUUUCGGCAGAAAAAUUAUUUAUUUCACUAUAUUGACUCUGUAUAUGUCGGUGGUAUUUAUAUACAAAAGAUUUAACCUAAAGAAGGAAUCCUAAAUACACAAAGAAAGGGAAUCUCAUAUACAAUGGAAGACUAACAUAAAUAGGAAAGAAUAAAAAUCUCUAUAAUUCAGUAAUACAACACUACAAAUUCCAACACUCCUCAAGUUGGUUCAUGCAUAUUACACAUGUCCAACUUGCAAACUAGAGUAUGGAACAAUUUGCUGCUUAGAAUCUUAGUAAACACAUCGGCCAAUUGUUCCUUUGAAGACACAUGAGAGACACUCAAAGAUCCAUCUACUAUUUUCUCUUUUAU